UACGGGAGGCAGGAGUGGGGAAUCUUGCGCAAUGGGCGAAAGCCUGACGCAGCCAUGCCGCGUGAAUGAUGAAGGUCUUAGGAUUGUAAAAUUCUUUCACCGGGGACGAUAAUGACGGUACCCGGAGAAGAAGCCCCGGCUAACUUCGUGCCAGCAGCCGCGGUAAUACGAAGGGGCUAGCGUUGCUCGGGAAUUACUGGGCGUAAAGGGCGCGUAGGCGGAUCGUUAAGUCAGAGGUGAAAUCCCAGGGCUCAACCCUGGAACUGCCUUUGAUACUGGCGAUCUUUGAGUAUGAGAGAGGUAUGUGGAACUCCGAGUGUAGAGGUGAAAUUCGUAGAUAUUCGGAAGAACACCAGUGGCGAAGGCGACAUACUGGCUCAUUACUGACGCUGAGGGCGCGAAAGCGUGGGGAGCAAACAGGGAUUAGAUACCCGU
rnacentral:rRNA from 1 species